UAUGUAAGUAUUGCAAAAGGGAAUUAUGUAAUAAGCCUAAGUUUUAAAAUAUUAAGUUAGAGUGUGCUCAGCCCUCUGCCUCUCUGCUGAGCCGCCCGCCUGGCCUGGUCAGGUGUAGUUUCUCUACUCAACCAUGUAACCUUGCUCCUUCCCCCACCCCCAGUCUCUCAGGCUCUGUCUGGAGAGGUGUCCAUCCGUCCUUACGGAUGUCCCUUCCAUAAUAAACCUUGCUAUUUUACCUCCCACUACUCUCUGUCUCACGCCUGAAUUCUUUCUUGCAAAAAGACAUGAACCCCUGCAAUUUCUCCAGUAACAUUUUUUGGCGACCACGAAGGGAUUUUGAGAAGACAUCGGAGAAGGGAAGUUACUACUGUUCUGCAGGACUCUCCACUGUGAUACUAAAAGCUGUCGAACUCCAAAUGGUCGUUAGACAAGACUUCCAGCCCAUUCCACUGGACAACCUGAGCAGCCCUCUGGACCGAGCAGGAUGGUCUUUCCAAGGCCACUGUCGCACACCAUAAGACAGAUAGCAAGAGGAAAUACCCAAAUCCCCCUCAAUGCCCAUAUGCCAGCUUUGAAGAAGUUACAAAAAACGGAACUCCAUCCAUAAUCCCAAAGAAGAAUUUUGGGUAUUGCCUCUUGAGGGGGGAAUGUUAGGUAGGAAAAUUAGUUGUGAGCUUAUGUGUGUGUGACAUAAAGGCCUAAAGAGAAGACAUCUAUGUCCAGCAUGUGCAUCUGCAUCUCAAAGUCAUCCUGACAAUGUUUCAGGGCAGCCUGGUAUUUGCGUCCUGCCCUGCCCCCUCCUACCUGAUAAUCUGCCAGGUGGAGAUCCCCACCCCUUCUGCCUGACAAUCUUCCACAAUCUCCCAGGUAUAACCCAGUAUCUGCAUUUCAAAUACCCUGCUCCAGAUCCCAAUUCUCUAGGGGGUCCUGCCCACCCUUCCUCCUGUCUGAUAACAUUUGCAUCCUUAAAGUUCUUUGUUUCAGACCUUCAAGAGAAGUUUUUCUAUUUACAUCCAAAAAGCCCUUUGUUCUAAGAGGAGCAGAGGUGGGGAAGCAAGACCCAUCUCCUUAAAAACCCCCGGCCUCAACCAGAAGGUGUGCUCAGCCCUCUGCCUCUCUGCUGAGCCACCCGCCUGGCCUGGUCAGGUGUAAUCUCUCUACUCAACCAUGUAACCUCGCUCCCCCCCCCCCCCCCCGAGUCUCUCAGGCUCUGUCUGGAGAGGUGCCCAUCCAUCCUUACGGAUGUCCCUUCCCUAAUAAACCUUGCUAUUUUACCUCCCA
rnacentral:lncRNA from 1 species